ACUUGGGGGUGCCUACGUAGCUUAUUCAUGCUAGUCGUCAAUAAGGAGGCGGCCUCAAACUCCAGCCUGACUGGGUUGAGAACGGGCGAUUAACACCUGGGCAAUCUGCCGGGGACUCUGGGAUAACUUCGAGAAAUCGAUGCUAAUACCGGAUACGACCCUUCCAGGCAUCUGGUGAGGGUGGAAAGAACUUUGGUCAGGGAUGAGCUCGCGGCCUAUCAGCUAGUUGGUGAGGUAAUGGCUCACCAAGGCGACGACGGGUAGCCGGCCUGAGAGGGUGACCGGCCACACUGGGACUGAGACACGGCCCAGACUCCUACGGGAGGCAGCAGUGGGGAAUAUUGCACAAUGGGCGCAAGCCUGAUGCAGCGACGCCGCGUGAGGGACGAAGGCCUUCGGGUUGUAAACCUCUU
rnacentral:rRNA from 1 species